rnacentral:rRNA from 1 species
GCGUGAGAAUCUGGCUCUAGGUCUGGGACAACCACUGGAAACGGUGGCUAAUACCGGAUGUGCCGAGAGGUGAAAGAUUAAUUGCCUAGAGAUGAGCUCGCGUCUGAUUAGCUAGUUGGAAGUGUAAUGGACUCCCAAGGCGACGAUCAGUAGCUGGUCUGAGAGGACGAUCAGCCACACUGGGACUGAGACACGGCCCAGACUCCUACGGGAGGCAGCAGUGGGGAAUUUUCCGCAAUGGGCGAAAGCCUGACGGAGCAAUACCGCGUGAGGGAGGAAGGCUCUUGGGUCGUAAACCUCUUUUCUCAGGGAAGAAAAAAAUGACGGUACCUGAGGAAUAAGCAUCGGCUAACUCCGUGCCAGCAGCCGCGGUAAUACGGAGGAUGCAAGCGUUAUCCGGAAUGAUUGGGCGUAAAGCGUCCGCAGGUGGCAAUGUAAGUCUGCUGUUAAAGAGUGAGGCUCAACCUCAUAAGAGCAGUGGAAACUACAUAGCUAGAGUACGUUCGGGGCAGAGGGAAUUCCUGGUGUAGCGGUGAAAUGCGUAGAGAUCAGGAAGAACACCGGUGGCGAAGGCGCUCUGCUAGGCCGUAACUGACACUGAGGGACGAAAGCUAGGGGAGCGAA